rnacentral:rRNA from 1 species
UACGUAGGGUGCGAGCGUUGUCCGGAAUUACUGGGCGUAAAGAGCUCGUAGGUGGUUUGUCGCGUUGUUCGUGAAAUCCCACGGCUUAACUGUGGGCGUGCGGGCGAUACGGGCAGACUGGAGUACUGCAGGGGGAGACUGGAAUUCCUGGUGUAGCGGUGGAAUGCGCAGAUAUCAGGAGGAACACCGGUGGCGAAGGCGGGUCUCUGGGCAGUAACUGACGCUGAGGAGCGAAAGCGUGGGGAGCGAACAGG